UACGGAGGGUGCAAGCGUUAUCCGGAUUUAUUGGGUUUAAAGGGAGCGUAGGCGGGAUAGUAAGUCAGUGGUGAAAUCUUCCGGCUCAACCGGGAAACUGCCAUUGAUACUGCUAACCUAGAGUACAUUUGAAGUGGGCGGAAUGUGUCAUGUAGCGGUGAAAUGCUUAGAUAUGACACAGAACACCAAUUGCGUAGGCAGCUCACUAAACUGUAACUGACGCUGAGGCUUGAAAGCGUGGGGAUCAAACAGG
rnacentral:rRNA from 1 species